rnacentral:misc_RNA from 1 species
ACAACAGUCGAAUUAUUUAUCGAUCUAUGCGAGUUCAGCCGAGUGAAGAUGGCGCCAAAAAUCAAAAAGUAAAUUUAGAGACCCUCAAGUAUAGUAUAUUGACCCAUCAAUGUAAUUCAAGUGUCAAUGAUUAAAGCAAGGCAGUAAGAAUUGGUAAGAACGAUUUUGGAUCUUUUCAUAUCUCGUUUUUGCUCCAUAAAUCAUGUUUCCUGAUCAAUGACCAGAACAAAUACUUGCCUACAAUCGACAAUAGUAAAAAUAUUUUUAUUCGGGCGUUCAGGUUUGAAUAAACUACCAAAGAUACACCCCAUUUUUAAGAUUAAACUCAGACCCAGGCUGUUCAUUAUCAACGAGACAUAAUAUCAUCGCAAUUUAAGUAUGAAGGUGGACAGAAAUAAUAGUCCGGUAAUAACCUUAUUCUUCCUGGAGUAAACCAUCAAAGUCUGUCGUCAGUAUUCAACGCCGUCAUUCAGUGGCGUCGCCCACCAUAGGCUUCGAUUUAUCUGCCCUGCCAGUAAAAUUUAUCCAGCGGUAUGGAAAUGGGGUAA